rnacentral:rRNA from 1 species
GACGAACGCUGGCGGCGUGCUUAACACAUGCAAGUCGAACGGAAAGGCCCUUCGGGGUACUCGAGUGGCGAACGGGUGAGUAACACGUGGGUGAUCUGCCCUGCACUUUGGGAUAAGCCUGGGAAACUGGGUCUAAUACCGAAUAGGACCACGCGCUUCAUGGUGUGUGGUGGCAAGCUUUUGCGGUGUGGGAUGGGCCCGCGGCCUAUCAGCUUGUUGGUGGGGUAAUGGCCUACCAAGGCGACGACGGGUAGCCGGCCUGAGAGGUGGACCGGCCACACGGGGACUGCGGGACGGCCCAGACUCCUACAGUAGGCAGUAGUGGGGAAUAUUGCCCAAUGGGGGCAAGCCUGAUGCAGCGGCGCCGCGUGAGGGAUGACGGCCUUCGUGUUGUAAACCUCUGUCAAUAAGGACGAAGCGGAAGUGACGGUACCUAUAGAAGAAGCACCGGCCAACUACGUG